rnacentral:rRNA from 1 species
AGUGAACGCUGGCGGCAGGCCUAACACAUGCAAGUCGAGCGGAUGAAGGGAGCUUGCUCCUGGAUUCAGCGGCGGACGGGUGAGUAAUGCCUAGGAAUCUGCCUGGUAGUGGGGGAUAACGUCCGGAAACGGGCGCUAAUACCGCAUACGUCCUGAGGGAGAAAGGGGGGGAUCUUCGGACCUCACGCUAUCAGAUGAGCCUAGGUCGGAUUAGCUAGUUGGUGGGGUAAAGGCCUACCAAGGCGACGAUCCGUAACUGGUCUGAGAGGAUGAUCAGUCACACUGGAACUGAGACACGGUCCAGACUCCUACGGGAGGCAGCAGUGGGGAAUAUUGGACAAUGGGCGAAAGCCUGAUCCAGCCAUGCCGCGUGUGUGAAGAAGGUCUUCGGAUUGUAAAGCCCUUUAAGUUGGGAGGAAGAGCAGUAAGUUAAUACCUUGCUGUUUUGACGUUACCCAAAGAAUAAGCACCGGCUAACUUCGUG